UGGGCGCAAGCCUGAUGCAGCCAUGCCGCGUGUGUGAAGAAGGCCUUCGGGUUGUACAAGCACUUAUCAGCGAGGAGGAAGGGUUCAGUGUUAAUACGCACUGUNGCAUUGACGUUACUCGCAGAAGAAGCACCGGCUAACUCCGUGCCAGCAGCCGCGGUAAUACGAGAGGGUGCAAGCGUUAAGUCGGGAAUUACUGGGCGUAAAGCGCACGACACGCGCGGUCUUGUUAAGAUCAGAUGUGAAAUCCCCGCGCUAUAACGUGAGGAACUGCAUGAUGAAACUGGCAAGCUAGAGUCUUGUAGAGGGGGGUAGAAUUACCAGGUGUAGCGGUGAAAUGCGUAGAGAUCUGGAGGAAUACCGGUGGCGAAGGCGGCCCCCUGGACAAAGACUGACGCUCAGNGUGCGAAAGCGUGGGGAGCAAACAGGAUUAGAUACCCUGGUAGUCCACGCUGUAAACGAUGUCGACUUGGAGGUUGUGCCCUUGAGGCGUGGCUUCCGGAGCUAACGCGUGAAGUCGACCGCCUGGGGAGUA
rnacentral:rRNA from 1 species